AGCUAUGCUAUGACAUCACAAUGCUCCAAUGUGAUAUCACAACUCCAUAUUGUGCCAACACAGUGCUGUACUGUUUUUAUUAUGAUGCUGAUUGUGCCAGCAUAGUG
ensembl:miRNA Mir6355 microRNA 6355